GACGAACGCUGGCGGCGUGCUUAACACAUGCAAGUCGAACGAUGAAGCCGGAGCUUGCUCUGGUGAAUUAGUGGCGAACGGGUGAGUAACACGUGAGUAACCUGCCCUUGACUCUGGGAUAACUGCUAGAAAUGGUAGCUAAUACCGGAUACGACCCUCGGAGGCAUCUCCAGGGGGUGGAAAGAAUUUCGGUCAAGGAUGGACUCGCGGCCUAUCAGCUAGUUGGUGAGGUAACGGCUCACCAAGGCGACGACGGGUAGCCGGCCUGAGAGGGUGAGCGGCCACACUGGGACUGGGACACGGCCCAGACUCCUGCGGGAGGAAGCAGUGGGGAAUAUUGCACAAUGGGCGCAAGCCUGAUGCAGCAACGCCGCGUGAGGGAUGACGGCCUUCGGGUUGUAAACCUCUUUUAGUAGGGAAGAAGCGAAAGUGACGGUACCUGCAGAAAAAGCACCGGCUAACUACGUGCCAGCCGCCGCCGUAA
rnacentral:rRNA from 1 species